rnacentral:rRNA from 1 species
CCUACGGGAGGCAGCAGUGGGGAAUUUUGGACAAUGGGCGAAAGCCUGAUCCAGCCAUGCCGCGUGCAGGAAGAAGGCCUUCGGGUUGUAAACUGCUUUAGUUCGGGAAAAAGGGAUGCUUGGUUAAUACCCGAGUGUUUUGAUGGUACCGGAAGAAUAAGCACCGGCUAACUACGUGCCAGCAGCCGCGGUAAUACGUAGGGUGCGAGCGUUAAUCGGAAUUACUGGGCGUAAAGCGUGCGCAGGCGGUCUUGUAAGACAGUCGUGAAAUCCCUGGGCUUAACCUAGGAACUGCGAUUGUGACUGCAAGGCUAGAGUGUGUCAGAGGGGGGUGGAAUUCCACGUGUAGCAGUGAAAUGCGUAGAGAUGUGGAGGAACACCGAUGGCGAAGGCAGCCCCCUGGGAUAACACUGACGCUCAUGCACGAAAGCGUGGGGAGCAAACAGGAUUAGAUACCCUGGUAGUCCACGCCCUAAACGAUGUCGACUGGUUGUUGGGUGGGUAACCACUUAGUAACGAAGCUAACGCGUGAAGUCGACCGCCGNGGGAGGUACGGUCGCGAGAGUAAACUACGAAGAAGUUAGUAGCGUUGAGAGNGCGAGGACGACGACGAGGGAGAGG